rnacentral:lncRNA from 1 species
CACACAGCUUCCUGGGCUGGGCAGACUUUUCUGCCUCUUAGAGUGGGCUGGAUUAAACAUUUUUGCCCUUGGUUGGGAGAUUUGUCAUAAGCUCUUCAAGGUAAACUAGAAUACCCCCUGGAGAAUAAUGUUUUAAAUGGAAUUACAGAAAAAUUCAUUGUGACUGUUAAGUGGCUAAAGAACAGAGAAUCCCUAGGGAGGGAUCAGAUCCCACGUGCCAUACUUGGAAAAGAUUUAGCCUUUCCAUUAGUGGGAAAGUGUGUGCAGAGUUGUGGUUAAUAACCGCAGUGUGCUGUGCUUAGCAUUUAGGGAGAACGUUUUUGUGUCUUUCCUGUUCUUUGGAUUUUGACUUCCUUCCUGAAAACCCUUCCCUGGCCUCUUUUGUGUCUUGUAAGCAUCAAUUUAAAUUGCCCGUUUGAUGUGGAAGGCUAAUGGAUUAUCUGUAGCUUUCCAUUAUUCUUAUCUCCUGGUCCCCAGGUAAUUAAAAGAUGGCAGCAAGGCUGAGUGAUUUCAACCGCUUUAUCCCGUUAUCAACAGUAUUUAUCUCUCUCUCUGCGUGGUUGAGCAUCCUCUUUUCUUCCGCUGAAGAAAUCUUGGCACCUUCACUGCUGCUGGCAGGAAGGAAGAAGGUCAUCCCAGGAUCGGCAAAUCUUCCUGGCAGUCAAGUUUCAGCGAGGCUGAGGUGUCGGCAUCUUAACAUUCUGCCCCUCACUCCUCAGAACAGGAAUCUGAAGGAUUGAACUGGGAACCACUUCCGGUUCUUGAGCCAGUGGGAAAAUGCACCUGGAGUGUGAUUCUAGUAGCCUGUUGGGGAUGGAUCACAGCGUAGCAGAGGGGAUGGGAGGGGAGUGACACCCUGAGGAGACAGUUGUGGCCCAGGAAGAGAGAAGGGACAGGAAGCAGACCAGAAACUCUGAAGUGCCGAGCCAAUGUGUCCCUUCUUGCUUAAUGUCAGCAAUGCCUUCCGGAAGCCUGGACUUCCCACCCUGGUAAUACCCCAAAAUGCUCCACAAUGCAUUCCUACUUCACUGACCCGCCCCUAACUGAGCCAUUUAAUGGUGUGAACUUGGACCGUUUAAAGUUUCCUACCUCAGUCUCUGCCUCUGAUUAUGACAUCUUCCCUGCUUCUGGAGCAGUGAUUCUAAAACUCAGCUAUGAUCCUCUCCUCCAGCUGAAAAUAUCUUGAGUCACUAUCUUCUUUUUUUUCUUUUUUUUGGUGGCACCUGCGGCAUGUGGAAGUUCCCAGACCGGAUCCUUAACCCUCUAGCCACAGCAGUGACAACCGGAUCCUUAACCCUUUAGCCACAGGGGAACUCGUCGGGUUGCUUUUUAAAUUAAUUAAUUAAGUAAGUAAUUUUGCUUUUUAGGGCUGCACCUGCAGCAUAUGGAAAUUCUAAGGCUAGUUAUCAAAUUGGAGCUGCAGCUGCUGGCCUAUGCCACAGCCACAGCAACACAGAUCUAAGCUCUGUCUGCAAUGCCAGAUCCUUAACCCACAGAGCGGGACCAGGUAUUGAAUGAACAUCCUCAUGGAAACUAGUCGGGUUGUAACCCACUGAGCCACAAUGGAAACUCUACUUUUUAAAUUCUUAUAUCCUUUAUCUCCUCUCCUCCUCAUCUUGCAGAAAGUCACUUUUUUUUCUUUUGGCUGCACCUGCGGCAUGUGGACAUUCCUGGGCCAGGGAUCAAACCCUUGCCACAGCAAUGACAAUGCCAGAUCCUUAACCCGAUGUAACACCAGGGAACUCCAGAAAGUCACAAUUUUAAUUUUGCUGCCUCUUUGUCUUUGUAAUUUGUCCUCCUGGUAAGAACCCCCUUCUUUCUCCCCUCUUCCUCCCUUAACCUCAUUUCUAGAACCCUUAACAUCCCUACGAACAAAUUCUAAUGCUGCUUUGUUGAAAAAGCUUAUCAAGACUUCUCUGAAGCUGUCUUCUUCUCUUCUUUACUGGCACAGCGCUGUUAUUGCAUGUAACCCAGUUUGCUUUGUUUAUUGGUUGCUUUUCUGCCUUUCCUGUGAACUGCUGGUAAUUGAGGGCAGGGCUGGUGUCUGAUUGAUCUGUAUCUGCCACUUGGCACCUCACACUCAGAGACAGAUUGUUAUAACUGUUCCUACUCUCUCCUUUGAACCUUGGGCAUCACUGCUUCUCUUCCUACAAACUCUUCCUCUUGGGGACCAAGAUGCCUGCCACAAGCUCCUGGUUUUUAUUCUUUGUAGGGCCAAUGCUAUUCUGUUUCCAAAUGUUCCUCUGGAUGGUGUAAUAACAGUUAAUAUCAUCAGCCCUCUCCUGGGAUAGAAGCUGUGAUUGUGCAGGAAUGCCAUUUUCACUGUCCUGGCGCCCAGCAUGGUAACCCCCAGGGUCGGAAGGAUGAGUCAUUGAGCAAAGCCUAUGUCCCCAUUUUGCAGAUGUUAAAAAUGGAGCUCAGUAAUGACUUCUCAAAGGGUGUUAAAGAUAAAAAUAAAAGGGGUGGAAAGUGAGCA